rnacentral:sRNA from 1 species
UCCUGUCGCCCUACAUCCUCAACCUCGGA